AGCGAACGCUGGCGGCAGGCCUAACACAUGCAAGUCGAACGAACUCUUCGGAGUUAGUGGCGGACGGGUGAGUAACACGUGGGAACGUGCCUUUAGGUUCGGAAUAACUCAGGGAAACUUGUGCUAAUACCGAAUGUGCCCUUCGGGGGAAAGAUUUAUCGCCUUUAGAGCGGCCCGCGUCUGAUUAGCUAGUUGGUGAGGUAAAGGCUCACCAAGGCGACGAUCAGUAGCUGGUCUGAGAGGAUGAUCAGCCACAUUGGGACUGAGGCACGGCCCAAACUCCUACGGGAGGCAGCAGUGGUGAAUCUUGCGCAAUGGGCGAAAGCUUGACGCAGCCAUGCCGCGUGAAUGAUGAAGGUCUUAGGAUUGUAAAAUUCUUUCACCGGGGACGAUAAUGACGGUACCCGGAGAAGAAGCCCCGGCUAACUUCGUGCCAGCCGCCGCCGUAA
rnacentral:rRNA from 1 species